UGCGUAGGCGGAUUGAUAAGUCAGUGGUGAAAACCUUCAGCUUAACUGGAGACUUGCCAUUGAUACUGUUAGUCUUGAGUACGGUCAAGGUAGGCGGAAUGUGUAAUGUAGCGGUGAAAUGCUUAGAUAUUACACAGAACACCGAUUGCGAAGGCAGCUUACUGGGCCAUUACUGACGCUGAGGCACGAAAGCGUGGGGAGCAAACAGGAUUAGAUACCCUGGUAGUCC
rnacentral:rRNA from 1 species